CACAAAUUCAUACCAACUGUAUGCAUAAAUGUAUGUGCCAAGUUCAGCGGUAAGCAUGGCAGUGACUUUCUUUCCACAAGAAAUAAAACUGCUUUGUUUACUUUUCAGGUGCAGCCAACAAUAACAUCAGAGUUCCAAGUAUUCUUAAGCCAGAUAAGGAGCAUCGCCUCUGUUUUCAGACCACAUGAAGCCCAGUCAUUAUCCAGUCAUCAGUCAGCAAGUAGAUGGGCAUUUUUUCAGACUUUCACCUGGAGACGAGGGAGAGGUAAAGUAUAGAAGAAAGAACUGAUGCUUCAACAGAAUUUGAUUCCAACAUUUACUGUUCCCAAAGAUAAAGUCUAAUAACUCUGGUGAUGAUUUUUGUUAGCACGAUACAUCAAGUUGCCAGAUCAUCAUGAUGCAAGUGACAACGUUCCAGCAGCAGAUCAAGAAACACCAGAGGUGGAGUCUCAUCGUCAGGGAUUUUUACAGAAAUGGAGACGAGGAAGAGAUGGAUCGGAGGUUUCUGCUGCUGAAUCUGGAGAAUCUCGCUCUUUCGACAUACCUAUGCAGGACCUCUGAACUUUAUUUUUCUUUAUUGCAGUGGUAAGAGCAUAAAAGUAUAUGAAUCAGAUUAUUUAAUAGUCCGGUCAUGUUUUGAAACUCAUACUUCAUCCAAAAACUGCACAAACUGUAAUGAACACAGGAUAUUCCACUUCUCAAGAUAAAUUACCUUUUCAGACAUUUUUUACAUUUUAAAUCAAAAUGUCCAAAAAGUGAAUACAAUUUUUGUUUUUUUCUAGAUUGAAAAUCAAUUCAGCAGGACAGUGCUUAGCUGCCACAAUCAGUUUUAUUACAUUUCAGCAGCAGGUCAUCUUCUGUUGUCUGUAGACUUUGAUCUUGACCGCAUCUUGUUGCAUCACUGUAUGUAAAGGGCAAGUCCGCUGUAUUAUGUGUU
ensembl:lncRNA